GCACGGGGGGCCUACGGGAGGCAGCAGUGGGGAAUUUUGGACAAUGGGGGCAACCCUGAUCCAGCAAUGCCGCGUGAGUGAAGAAGGCCUUCGGGUUGUAAAGUUCUUUUGUCAGGGAAGAAAAAGUCGUGGUUAAUAUCCACGACUGCU
rnacentral:rRNA from 1 species